rnacentral:piRNA from 1 species
UCAAUUAAUUAACCAAUUAAU